UCCUGGUUAGUACAAUGGUCAGUAUAGGACACUCUCACCUGCGCUUCUCUCCCUCCGAGGAUGUGGACGGUGCUGUUCAGAUCGGGGUUCGAUUCCCCGGCCGGGAA
rnacentral:tRNA from 1 species